UGAUCCUGGCUCAGGAUGAACGCUAGCGGCAGGCUUAACACAUGCAAGUCGAGGGGUAGAAGUCUUCGGACUUUGAGACCGGCGCACGGGUGCGUAACGCGUAUGCAAUCUACCUUUUACAGAGGGAUAGCCCAGAGAAAUUUGGAUUAAUACCUCAUAGUAUAUAGCCCUGGCAUCAGGAUUAUAUUAAAGUCACAACGGUAAAAGAUGAGCAUGCGUCCCAUUAGCUAGUUGGUAAGGUAACGGCUUACCAAGGCUACGAUGGGUAGGGGUCCUGAGAGGGAGAUCCCCCACACUGGUACUGAGACACGGACCAGACUCCUACGGGAGGCAGCAGUGAGGAAUAUUGGACAAUGGGCGCAAGCCUGAUCCAGCCAUGCCGCGUGCAGGAUGACGGUCCUAUGGAUUGUAAACUGCUUUUAUACGAGAAGAAACAUCCCGACGUGUCGG
rnacentral:rRNA from 1 species